AGACCCGAAACCCGGUGAUCUAGCCAUGGGCAGGUUGAAGGUUGGGUAACACUAACUGGAGGACCGAACCGACUAAUGUUGAAAAAUUAGCGGAUGACUUGUGGCUGGGGGUGAAAGGCCAAUCAAACCGGGAGAUAGCUGGUUCUCCCCGAAAGCUAUUUAGGUAGCGCCUCGUGAAUUCAUCUCCGGGGGUAGAGCACUGUUUCGGCAAGGGGGUCAUCCCGACUUACCAACCCGAUGCAAACUGCGAAUACCGGAGAAUGUUAUCACGGGAGACACACGGCGGGUGCUAACGUCCGUCGUGAAGAGGGAAACAACCCAGACCGCCAGCUAAGGUCCCAAAGUCAUGGUUAAGUGGGAAACGAUGUGGGAAGGCCCAGACAGCCAGGAUGUUGGCUUAGAAGCAGCCAUCAUUUAAAGAAAGCGUAAUAGCUCACUGGUCGAGUCGGCCUGCGCGGAAGAUGUAACGGGGCUAAACCAUGCACCGAAGCUGCGGCAGCGACACUGUGUGUUGUUGGGUAGGGGAGCGUUCUGUAAGCCUGUGAAGGUGUGCUGUGAGGCAUGCUGGAGGUAUCAGAAGUGCGAAUGCUGACAUAAGUAACGAUAAAGCGGGUGAAAAGCCCGCUCGCCGGAAGACCAAGGGUUCCUGUCCAACGUUAAUCGGGGCAGGGUGAGUCGACCCCUAAGGCGAGGCCGAAAGGCGUAGUCGAUGGGAAACAGGUUAAUAUUCCUGUACUUGGUGUUACUGCGAAGGGGGGACGGAGAAGGCUAUGUUGGCCGGGCGACGGUUGUCCCGGUUUAAGCGUGUAGGCUGGUUUUCCAGGCAAAUCCGGAAAAUCAAGGCUGAGGCGUGAUGACGAGGCACUACGGUGCUGAAGCAACAAAUGCCCUGCUUCCAGGAAAAGCCUCUAAGCAUCAGGUAACAUCAAAUCGUACCCCAAACCGACACAGGUGGUCAGGUAGAGAAUACCAAGGCGCUUGAGAGAACUCGGGUGAAGGAACUAGGCAAAAUGGUGCCGUAACUUCGGGAGAAGGCACGCUGAUAUGUAGGUGAAGUCCCUCGCGGAUGGAGCUGAAAUCAGUCGAAGAUACCAGCUGGCUGCAACUGUUUAUUAAAAACACAGCACUGUGCAAACACGAAAGUGGACGUAUACGGUGUGACGCCUGCCCGGUGCCGGAAGGUUAAUUGAUGGGGUCAGCGCAAGCGAAGCUCUUGAUCGAAGCCCCGGUAAACGGCGGCCGUAACUAUAACGGUCCUAAGGUAGCGAAAUUCCUUGUCGGGUAAGUUCCGACCUGCACGAAUGGCGUAAUGAUGGCCAGGCUGUCUCCACCCGAGACUCAGUGAAAUUGAACUCGCUGUGAAGAUGCAGUGUACCCGCGGCAAGACGGAAAGACCCCGUGAACCUUUACUAUAGCUUGACACUGAACAUUGAGCCUUGAUGUGUAGGAUAGGUGGGAGGCUUUGAAGUGUGGACGCCAGUCUGCAUGGAGCCGACCUUGAAAUACCACCCUUUAAUGUUUGAUGUUCUAACGUGGACCCGUGAUCCGGGUUGCGGACAGUGUCUGGUGGGUAGUUUGACUGGGGCGGUCUCCUCCUAAAGAGUAACGGAGGAGCACGAAGGUUGGCUAAUCCUGGUCGGACAUCAGGAGGUUAGUGCAAUGGCAUAAGCCAGCUUGACUGCGAGCGUGACGGCGCGAGCAGGUGCGAAAGCAGGUCAUAGUGAUCCGGUGGUUCUGAAUGGAAGGGCCAUCGCUCAACGGAUAAAAGGUACUCCGGGGAUAACAGGCUGAUACCGCCCAAGAGUUCAUAUCGACGGCGGUGUUUGGCACCUCGAUGUCGGCUCAUCACAUCCUGGGGCUGAAGUAGGUCCCAAGGGUAUGGCUGUUCGCCAUUUAAAGUGGUACGCGAGCUGGGUUUAGAACGUCGUGAGACAGUUCGGUCCCUAUCUGCCGUGGGCGCUGGAGAACUGAGGGGGGCUGCUCCUAGUACGAGAGGACCGGAGUGGACGCAUCACUGGUGUUCGGGUUGUCAUGCCAAUGGCACUGCCCGGUAGCUAAAUGCGGAAGAGAUAAGUGCUGAAAGCAUCUAAGCACGAAACUUGCCCCGAGAUGAGUUCUCCCUGACCCUUUAAGGGUC
rnacentral:rRNA from 1 species